AAUCUUAUAACAUAAGAUAUUAUGCUAAGAUAUACCGUUGGAGAGGCUCUUAGAAACUAGAGGUAAAUGUUUUGUUUCAAAAGUAUAUAUGAAUAAAUCAUAUAAAAAACUGAAUAGAAUAUACACACAUAGGACAACUCUAGCAUGACGGCGGAUUUAUUAAAACACUAUAACUAUUAACUU
rnacentral:sRNA from 1 species